AGGCGGUUUGCCGCGUCUGCUGUGAAAGCCCGGGGCUUAACUCCGGGUGUGCAGUGGGUACGGGCAGACUGGAGUGCAGUAGGGGAGACUGGAAUUCCUGGUGUAGCGGUGAAAUGCGCAGAUAUCAGGAGGAACACCGAUGGCGAAGGCAGGUCUCUGGGCUGUUACUGACGCUGAGGAGCGAAAGCAUGGGGAGCGAACAGGAUUAGAUACCCUGGUAGUCCAUGCCGUAAACGUUGGGCACUAGGUGUGGGGGACAUUCCACGUUUUCCGCGCCGUAGCUAACGCAUUAAGUGCCCCGCCUGGGGAGUACGGCCGCAAGGCUAAAACUCAAAGGAAUUGACGGGGGCCCGCACAAGCGGCGGAGCAUGCGGAUUAAUUCGAUGCAACGCGAAGAACCUUACCAAGGCUUGACAUCAACCGGACCGGGCCAGAGAUGGUCUUUCCCUUCGGGGCUGGUUGACAGGUGGUGCAUGGUUGUCGUCAGCUCGUGUCGUGAGAUGUUGGGUUAAGUCCCGCAACGAGCGCAACCCUUGUCCUAUGUUGCCAGCACGUAGUGGUGGGGACUCAUGGGAGACUGCCGGGGUCAACUCGGAGGAAGGUGGGGAUGACGUCAAAUCAUCAUGCCCCUUAUGUCUUGGGCUUCACGCAUGUUACAAUGGCCGGUACAGUGGGUUGCGAUGCCGUGAGGUGGAGCUAAUCCCUAAAAGCCGGUCUCAGUUCGGAUCGAAGUC
rnacentral:rRNA from 1 species